GAUGAACGCUAGCGGCAGGCCUCAUACAUGCAAGUCGAGGGGCAGCGGGACACUUCGGUGUUGCCGGCGACCGGCGAACGGGUGCGUAAUGCGCAUGCAAUCUACUUUACACUGGGGAAUAGCCUCCGGAAACGGGAAUUAAUACCCCAUAUAAUCUUGCUAGCGCAUGCUAAAAAGAUGAAAGCUCCGGCGGUGUAAAAUGAGCGUGCGUCCUAUUAGCUAGUUGGAGAGGUAAUAGCUCACCAAGGCUACGAUGGGUAGGGGUUCUUAGUGGAAGGUCCCCCACACUGGCACUGAGAUACGGGCCAGACUCCUACGGGAGGCAGCAGUAGGGAAUAUUGGUCAAUGGGCGCAAGCCUGAACCAGCCAUGCCGCGUGCAGGAUGAAGGCUCUCUGAGUUGUAAACUGCUUUUGUACAGGAGCAAAAAAGUCCCUGCGGGGAUUCUUGAGAGUACUGUAAGAAUAAGCACCGGCUAAUUCCGUGCCAGCCGCCGCCGUAACAC
rnacentral:rRNA from 1 species